rnacentral:misc_RNA from 1 species
UGAAAGUGAACCUGGAACCUGUAAAGACAGGGAAAUCAUGCGGCAUGACCCACACAAGUUGUUGGAAGGCUGUCUGAUUGCAGGAGUGGGGAUGAGAGCUAGAGCUGCUUAUAUUUAUAUCAGGGGAGAGUAUGUGAAUGAAAGGUUGAGCCUUCAGAAGGCUAGACAAGAAGCCUAUGAAGCUGGAUUGUUGGGGAAAAAUGCUUGUGGAUCUGGUUAUGAUUUUGACGUAUAUAUUCAUUUUGGUGCUGGUGCCUAUAUUUGUGGUGAAGAGACAGCUCUUCUGGAGAGCCUUGAGGGCAAACAAGGCAAACCAAGAUUGAAGCCUCCAUUUCCAGCUAAUGCAGGACUAUAUGGAUGUCCAACAACUGUUACAAAUGUUGAAACAGUAGCUGUUUCACCAACCAUCUUAAGGCGUGGUCCAGAGUGGUUUGCUAGUUUUGGCCGGAAGAAUAAUGCCGGGACAAAGCUGUUUUGCAUCUCAGGCCAUGUUAACAAGCCCUGUACAGUUGAAGAGGAAAUGAGUAUUUCAUUGAAGGAGCUGCUAGAGAGGCACUGUGGUGGUGUGCGUGGAGGAUGGGACAAUUUGCUUGCUGUUAUACCAGGAGGUUCAUCUGUUCCACUGCUUCCCAAGAACAUAUGUGAGGAUGUACUUAUGGAUUUUGAUGCACUCAAAGCUGUGCAGUCAGGGUUGGGGACUGCUGCUGUAAUUGUCAUGGACAAGUCAACUGAUGUUGUAGAUGCAAUUGCAAGGCUCUCGUACUUCUACAAGCACGAGAGUUGUGGUCAAUGUACACCAUGUAGGGAAGGCACAGGAUGGCUUUGGAUGAUCAUGGAAAGAAUGAAGGUUGGCAAUGCAAAGUUGGAAGAGAUUGACAUGCUCCAAGAGGUGACAAAACAGAUUGAAGGGCACACUAUUUGUGCCUUGGGUGACGCUGCUGCUUGGCCAGUGCAGGGUCUUAUUAGGCACUUUAGACCAGAGCUAGAAAGGAGGAUCAGGGAGCAUGCAGAGAGGGAGCUACAACAGGCAGCUGCUGCUUGAUUCUUUUAUGAGUUUGCUGUUUGAUACCAUGGGAAUAAAUUUUGAGAAGUACCAGAAGUAUGAAUGUGGGAGGGGAAAGCAGGACGCAGAGCUUCCCUAUAUCCAGCCACUUUUUAUUAUCAAACUUGUGUAGAACUAUUGUUACAUUGUUGGCCCAAUGGGUAAUUUAUGUUUCAGAGCUGGUACAUCUAAUGUCUUAAUGUUUCCUUACAUUAUCAUUGCCAUGGUUUUGGUAGUUGAAAGAUGCUUUAAUAUUUGUCAUGUUGCGUUAAAUAAGAUCUACA